rnacentral:rRNA from 1 species
GACAGAGGGUGCAAACGUUGCUCGGAAUCACUGGGCGUAAAGGGCGUGUAGGCGGGAAGGAAAGUCAGAUGUGAAAUCCCUGGGCUCAACCCAGGAACUGCAUUUGAAACUCCCUUUCUUGAGUACCGGAGAGGAAAGUGGAAUUCCUGGUGUAGCGGUGAAAUGCGCAGAUAUCAGGAGGAACACCAAUGGCGAAGGCAGCUCGCUGGGACGUGACUGACGCUGAGACGCGAAAGCGUGGGGAGCAAACAGG